rnacentral:rRNA from 1 species
UACGGGAGGGGCAAGCGUUAUCCAGCAUAACUGGGCGUAAAGAGUUCGUAGACUGUAAAAUAAGUUACUUGUUAAAAAAUUAAAAGCCUAACUUUAAAACUGCUUGUAAGACUGUUUUACUAGAGUUUUAUACAGAAGAGUAGAAUUUUACAAGGAAGGAUGAAAUCUACAGAUAUGUAAAGGAAUACCAAUAGCGAAGGCAACUCUUUAGUAAAAACUGACGUUGAGGAACGAAAAGUAUGGGGAGCAAACAGG